rnacentral:rRNA from 1 species
AAUCGCAUGAUUGAAAUGUAAAAGUGGGGAGUAAUUCCUCACACUAUGUAGAUGGGCCCGCGGCGCAUUAGCUAGUUUGGUAAGGUAAUGGCUUUACCUAAGGCGAACGAUGCGUAGCCGACCUGAGAGGGUGAUCGGCCACACUGGAACUGAGACACGGUCCAGACUCCUACGGGAGGCAGCAGUAGGGAAUCAUCCGCAAUGGGCGAAAGCCUGACGGUGCAACGCCGCGUGAACGAUGAAGGUUUUCGGAUCGUAAAGUUCUGUUAUGAGGGAAGAACAAAGUGCCGUUCGAAUAGGGCGGCACCUUGACGGUACCUAACCAGAAAGCCACGGCUAACUACGUG